AGGAGCAGCCUCCAGCUGCAAAAGUGCUGGAGCAGAGGACAAAGGCAGCCCCGGAGAGAGGAAGGCGAGAGAAGAGCCGGAAAGUGCAUCAAGGGACACCGGGAGCAAGGGAUGGAGGAGAGAGCAGCCCAGAGCACCUGGGCAGAGGAGCCCCAGACCUCUGCUGCUGUUUCUUGGUCUCCUCUGGCCACAUGAAGAAUGGUAAUGUUUGGCCAGACUCAGGCCAAGUUGCACCAUAUCAGCAACGUGGAGCAGCUGGCUUGCAAUAGAGAUAAAUGUUCUGAUGCUGAUACUGAGCUUGUGGUGAGGUCUCUGUGGCGCAAUGGACGAGCGCGCUGGACUUCUAAUCCAGAGGUUCCGGGUUCGAGUCCCGGCAGAGAUGAUCUCCAGGCAGGUGUCUCUUUUAUCCUGCUAAAUGCUCAGGACUCCACUCCAUUAAUGGGAAUCACACCCUGCUCCCAGAAGGUAUAAGGGAGGACAGAUGAGGAAGCUACACAAAACUUAGAAGCAUCCAGCAUGGAUAGGGAGGAGCUGGUUAUGGAACAGAUACCUGGGAAUCCAUGGAAAUGGUACCAGAUCAUUGCCACUUCACUGCCGCAGACAUUAUAUUAACGUCUUUUCCUUGGAUCCCGAACUCAAUCAUCUUGUGGUCGCUGCUGCCCAAGUUGCCAUCCACUUCCACAUCCCCCACCAAUUCUUCCCUGAUUGUGAGCAGCAGGUCAAGAAGACAUGGUCCCUAGUUGGCUGCUCCAGCACUUGCACCAGGAAGUUGUCCCUUACACUCUCCAAAAAUGUCCUGGAUUGGCUGUGCACUGCUGUAUUACCUUCCCAGCUGAUGUCAGGGUGACUGAAAUCCCCCCUGAGAACCAGGGCCUGUGAUCUGGAAACUUCCACUAGUUGUCUGAAGAAAGCCUCAUCUACCUCAUUCUUCUGGUCUGGUGGUCUAUAGCAGACACCCCCUCCCUCUAUUGUAGCAAAGCUCCCAGUAGUGGUGAUGUGAGGAGCUGGUACUUCCCCAGUCCCAUCACAGACUGCUGUCUACGUAUAGGCAUUUCUGUUCAGUUUGUAUUGUUCAUAAUCCAGAUGGUAAGUCACAAACCAAAGGCUGCAAUAGCUUAAACCACAGUACUUUGGGAGGCUGAUGGUUCUGAGAACUACCUUCGAAACCCCAGAAUCAAAUUCCCCUUGGUCUAUGGGGAAAGUGCAGUGAUUGAGGAACCGGAAGAUUGCUCUAGCCGUGUCCUGGCAGUUGUGUGGCAUCCGUGGCUCCAUUCACUUUAUAAGGUCUCACAAUCUUGGACUGGAAGAAUACCAUUUUCUGGUAAAGUAACUGAGGUUGCACUCCAUUUCUAGAGCAUUUCCUGAUGUGGCAUUUGGCCAAGAGACAUCAUCAUUUGUUGGAAUGAUUAUCAUCAUUUUGUGUAUGUGGCUACAGAAUUGAUAACUACUCUUCUGGCCUCUAGCCUAAAAUUUCCUCCCAGAACCAGUUUUUAAUUACAUGAUAUAUCUCGCUUCUUUUCCACAGGAUCCAUAUCUCCCCAAUGCAAAGAAUGGAAGGGAGCUCCAGAGGUCACAUCUAGUCCAACGUCCUGCCUGAGGCAGGAUCAGCCCUGUCCAUACCAUCAUAUGCAAAUCCAUAAUCUAAACUCUUAGUAAAAUACCACCAACCCUGACACAACUUAAUACAUAACACCCUAACUUUCCACAGGUAAAACAGGAGGACCACAGCAGCUAACAUCCUGCUUCUAUAAAGGGAUGUUAAUAUAUGCUCAAGAGAUCCUAGGUAGAGGCCCCAUUCCCCGCUCUGUUGAGAAGGCAAAAAUCCUUCCAGUCUGUACCAACCUGACCAUGGGGUAAAAUGUCUUCCUGACACCAAAUAUGGUGGAUCAGUCUAACCCUGAAUGGAGGGGCAAGACCCUCUAGCCAGGAACCUCUAACAGGAGGUUCCAGCAGGAGCACUGGCACAGCCUAGCCACCAUCCCCAGCAUCAGCUGCAGCCACCAACCAGUGCUGCUGAGGAAAGCUUACAAAACACCCUGACACGUGUAGCAGAAGGGGGGCCAGGAGAAGGGGAAGAGGCAGCCAGCAACGCUUAGAAGUAUGGGGAAUACCCAUGGUAAAACAGUGUCAUUGCUAUGCCUAGUUCACCCCAACCAGUGGUUGUCCAACUUCUUGAACACCUCCGGUGAUGGAGAGUCCACAGCUUCUCUAGGUGUCUUUUCCACUGCCUCGCUGCUGUAACAGUGAAGAUGCUUUUCCUGAUAUGCAACCUUAACUUACUUUGCUGUAACUUCAAGCCAUUGGUACACAUACUCCUCUCUGCAGCAAGAGAGAAAAAAUGCUUUCCCUCUUCUUUAUGGCAGCCCUUCAGGUAUUUGAAGACUGCUAUCACAUCCCCUCUUAAGUGACUUCCACACACUGAACAUGCCUAACUCCUUCAACCUCUCCGCAUAUGACUUGCUUUCCAAGCUCUUGUUCAUCCUUGUUGCCUACUUCUGGACUUUCUCUAACUUCUCCAUAUCCUUUUUAAAAUACUGAGCCCAAACUACAUACAGUACUCCAGAUGAGGCCUAAGUAGUGUUAAAUAGACAGGCAUUAUCACCUUCCACAUCGUGCACCUAAUGCUUCUAUUGAUGCAUCCCAAAAAAGCAUUUGCCUUUUCUGCAGCUACAUCGCACUGCAGACUCAUAUUGAGUGUGUGAUCUACUAUGACUCCUUGAUCCUUCUCAGUAGUGCUGCCAUCCAGCCAGGUAUCAACCAUUUUGUAUUUCUGGUUUUGAUUAUUCUUCCCAAGGUGCAGCACCUUGCAUUUGUCUGCAUUGAACUUCAGUCUGUUAGCUUCAGCCCAACUUCCCAAUCUGUCAAGAUGCUUUUGAGUUGCACUCCCAUCUUCCAGUGUGUUCACAAUCCUUCCCAGUUUCAUGUCAUUAGCAAAUAAGCUCAAGAAGCUUUCUAUGCCAACAUCCAAAUCAUUAAUAAGCACAUUGAACAGUACUGGGCCUAGGGCAAACCCCUGUGGGACUCCACUUGAAACCUCCUGCCAUUCUGCCAUGGACCCGUUAAUAACUACCCUUUGCUUACAGCUAUUGACUAGUUGUCUACCUACCUUGUAGUAGGUUUAUCCAGCCCACAGUUUUCCAAUUUUGUUUAUGAGAAGGCUGUGCAGGACCUUGUCAAAAGCUUUGCUGAAGUCCAGAUACAUGAUAUCUACAGCCUUCCCUUCAUCCUCCCAAGUAAUUACUUGGCCAAAGAAGAUCAAGUUUGUUUGACACAAUUUGUUCUUAGUAAAUCCAUGUUGGCUGUUUGUAAUCAGCCGUUCCUCCUGCAGAUGCUUGCAAAUGGCCUUCCUCAGGAUAUGUUCCAGUAACUUCCCAAGUAUUGAGGUAAAGCUAACCAGUCUACAGACUGGUUCCCCAGGUCCUCCUUUUUUACUUUUUUUAGGACAAGCACUAUGUUGGCUUCUUUCCACUCCUCUGGAACCUGGCCCAUCUCCCACAACUUCAUGAAGAUCAUUGCCAAGGGCUCCGGAUCUCCUCCUUCAGUACCCUGGGAUGAAGUUCGUUAAGCCAUGCUCAUUUAAAUUAAUUCUCAGUGAAUGAGACAGGCUUGGUUAGUGACUAAAGCUGUUAUCUGUAAGAUCCUUCCUUUAUUCAUGAUGGAAGAUGGAAAACAAAGGGGUGGGGGUGGGAAGUAUUGGAGUGAAGCAGGAGAAUUGACCCCUAAGCAGCCACUCACCUUCUAGAAUUAGAAGACAUCUGGGCAAAGCUUGAUCUGACUGUCUGCACACCUGAGAAAACAUGUGGGUCGCAGAGACUUAGCAGCAGUGAGUGCAAGAGAAAAGGCCAGAAGGGAAUGCUGAGUUUCACAUUCAGUGUGUGGUGUGGAUGCCGUGCAGUAAACACAGCCCGGAGACAUGUUUGGAGUGAUUUAGAUAAUAGAAAUAUUGAAAGACUGCCUUAGUCACUGAGCAGUGUCCUGUGUGAAACAGGCUUCCAGGGAGAAAAGAGAACAUAUUCAUGCAAUGAAAAACUGUAUCAGCACAUACACACAAGGAGGCAGGAUUAGUCCCAUGGUUGUGUUCCCUCUCAUUGGGCUUGUGGCCCCUUUAUGUGGGAUUAGCCUAAAAUUGCCAUUUUUAAGGCGCAUUAAGGGUACGAGACUGCACAUGCAUGCCCUUAAUGUGCUUUAAACAUGGCAAUUUUAGGCUAAUCCCACUUAAAUUUGAUACCUGCUUAAAGCAAGUACCAAAUUUAGGCUCACAUAGCUAAGUCGCAUUAGUCCACGUGUAGGUGCUUAAUGCACAUUAACGUGGUGUGCAUCGAUGGACACACACCACGUUAAUACACGUUAGCGCAGCUAUAUGUGAGCUAAUGCAACUUAGCUAUGCGAGCCUAAAUUUAGGGCAUCUAUGUGUAAAUAUGUGCCUAAAUCACCUUAAUUCUCCUUAAACAAAGGCACAUUAAGUUUAGGCGCAUGUAACUACACAUGUAGACGUGCCCACUGAGGAGCUGGGUUGUAGCGGGCAUGGGCAUCUCGGUUCUAUCCCCGUUUUCUGGCCAGACCACAUAGCAGUGCAUCAGUGAGCAGAGGGGAUGGAGCACAGUGGCACACUGCUAGUGUAGAGGGCCUGGACCAAGAAGAGGAGCCAUGGCUCAGAGGGAUAUCUCAGUGCUACAGUGCCUGUUGGAGCCACUUGCAGAGUGAUACAGCUUAGAUUUCAUAGCAGUAAGAACCAGAAGGGAACAUCUAAAUUGUACUGUCUGUAUAUCACAGAUCAUCAGGUUUCACCAUUGUCCCUGGGCUAAGCCUAAUGACUUGUGUCUGAAUAAUGCUUCUUUUACAAAAAGGUGUCCAAUCUUGCUCUGAAAACAUCAAGAGAUGGAAAAUGUUUCACUUCCUUUGGGCAAUGGUUUCAGUAAUCAGUCACCUUCACUGUUAACAAAUUAUGCUGUUUCUAAUUUGAAUUUCUCUUGCUUCAUCUUUCCACCACUGGUUCUUGUUCCACCUUCCUCUGCUAUAAUAAAUUGUCUUAGAGCACCUCUCUGUGUCAAUAUUUAGGCACUAUAAUCAAGUUACCUCUUAAUUUUCAUUUUGAUAAAUUAAAGACAUUGAGAUUUUCCAGUUUCUCACCAUGAGGUUGUUUCCCAAACCAAUUUUUGUGGCUACUUUCCUGUGCCCUCCCCAAUUCUACAUCCUUUUAUUACAUGGACCCCAGAAAUGGGUGGAUAGCCAGUAUCAAUCUCACCAGUGCAGACACAGAGGUAAAAAUCAGCUCUUUACUCAUUGACUUAUUUAAACAUCAAGGACCAUGUCAGCUCCUUUUAUCACAGCAUGACUCUGAUAGCUCAUGUUGAAUUGUUUGUUCAUUGUGAUGCCUAAAUCUUUUUCAGAGUCACUGCUUUUUAGCAUACAGUGUCCACUCUUUAGAUAUAGCCUGUAUUUCUUAUUCUCAGAUAUAUGAUAUCAUAGUUGAUGUCAUAAAAGGGACUCCUCUUACUAAACAGUGCUGAUGGCUCAUGAUCAUACUUGUAAAAGUAAUGUAGCUAUGUUCAAUAAGUUUCUAUGACCAUG